rnacentral:rRNA from 1 species
CAGCAACGCCGCGUGAAGGAUGAAGGCUUUCGAGUUGUAAACUUCUUUUCUGCGGGAAGAGAACGGACGGUACCGCAGGAACAAGUCUCGGCUAACUACGUGCCAGCAGCCGCGGUAAAGCGUAGGAGGCGAGCGUUAUCCGGAUUUACUGGGCGUAAAGCGCACGCAGGCGGUGGCAUCAGUGAUGCGUGAAAGGUCCCGGCUCAACUGGGAGAGGCCGUAUCAUACUGUGUCACUGGAGACAGAUAGAGGCAUACGGAAUUCCGGGUGGAGUGGUGAAAUGCGUAGAGAUCCGGAGGAACACCAGUGGCGAAGGCGGUAUGCUGGGUCUGAUCUGACGCUGAGGUGCGAAAGCGUGGGGAGCGAACGGGAUUAGAAACCCCGGUAGUCCACGCCGUAAACGAUGCAAACUAGAUGUUAGCGGUCGAAAGGCCGUGAGUGUCGUAGCUAACGCGAUAAGUUUGCCGCCUGGGGACUACGGCCGCAAGGCUAAAACUCAAAGGAAUUGACGGGGACCCGCACAAGCAGCGGAGCGUGUGGUUUAAUUCGAGGCUACGCGAAGAACCUUACCUGGGCUUGACAUGAUGGUAGUAGCGACCUGAAAGGGAAGCGACCUUCGGGAGCCAUCACAGGUGCUGCAUGGCUGUCGUCAGCUCGUGCCGUGAGGUGUUCGGUUAAGUCCGAAAACGAGCGCAACCCCUAGCCCUAGUUACAAGUGUCUAGUGCGACUGCCCGGGGAAACUGGGAGGAAGGUGGGGAUGACGUCAAGUCAGCAUGGCCUUUAUGUCCAGGGCUACACACACGCUACAAUGGCCGGUACAAUAGGCAGCCAAGCCGCGAGGCGGAGCGAAUCCAUCAAAGCCGGUCUCAGUUCGAAUUGCAGGCUGCAACCCGCCUGCAUGAAGUCGGAGUUGCUAGUAAAC